rnacentral:lncRNA from 1 species
CCAACAAUAACCACAAAGCAAUUCUGGGAUAUUUCUACGUCAACCCAUUUGCCUGAUUUGGAUAGCAUCUGCAAACCCUGAACUUCAUUUUGACACAAAACGGUUAAGGUGUUUUUGUCAGUGUGACCAUUGGAGGCANCCUUGUUUGCAUCAGUAUUGUACAUGUUCAAUCGUAUCUGGGUACAACUCUUCAUGUUUUCAACAUCUGAAAUGUAAUGUUGGGGAAGGUCAUAGCCCUCCACAAUCAUUUUCAAGACUAGUGAACUUAUUUCUGUCAUCUUUAAGCUCAUACCCUUUAGUACCUCACUGCAUGCAAUCAAAAUAGAACAUUAAACAAGGUGAUUUAUACGUGUGUGAUCUCUUAAAGAGUAACGGAACAACAACAAGGUCUUAAGUUAUGAUAAUUUAACUGAAUACUGGGAAGGAUCCGACAUGAAUUAAAAGAAUAAUACCAGAAAUUUGGAUUUCCUUGAGGCCACAUGAGGUUGGUGAAGGUCUCAACUGAUGUUGAGAGAAGAACAUCAUCGACUGCAAAGCAUUCUUUGACAGUGUUCAUAAACUUAUGGAUGUUGAAGCUACUGAAAGGCUUUGGAAUUAUGUGUUGUUGCUUUGUUUGCUGAGGCAAAUGAAAUAAUGUUUUGACACUCUUAAACAGCUCUUCAAUGGAUUUGACCUCAUCAUCACACCUCAAGAGGAAGAAACCAUCAUUCUCACAUGCUUCUCUCACUUUCAUACUCAUCUCUUUCCACUCUUCACUCCCUUCUUCUAGUGUCACCCCUCCCUUGCAAAAAUCAAAACAUGGUAGCACCAUAACCUCAUUCUCACAUGCCAUUUCCAUCUCUCUCUUUUUCCUUCUUGCUGACUAUUUCUCUCUGUUAUGUAGGGAUAUAGAUGGUGAUAGAGGUAAUAUAGUGCAACGAUAAGAGAGGAAGAUAUUAAUAAACAAGUUUUGAUAGAACCGAAAAACCCAUGUAUUGCGGGAAUUUAGAAUGUUGAUGGAACCUCCUCAUGUAAUGUCAAAACUAACUAUGUUAAAACAUUGGGCAAUAUUUUCUCUUUCACCCAAAAAAUACUAAAAUAGAACAUUGUUUUUUUAGGAAGCUCUUUUUAAUGCUUACGUAAGUUUACUUUUGGUAUAUAAUGCCGAUUAAGUGAGGAAAUGAAAUUGGAAAACGAAUCAUGCUAAAAUUAGAUAUUAAUUAUUUAAUUGGUCUAUUUCUUCUCUAAGCAAAAGUAAGAACGUGAGGAAAAAACAUACAGUACUACUUAGAUUUUCUUCUCAUUUCACAAGAGAGAAAACAAACGAAGAUUGUGAAAGAAAAAUAAUUUGAAUGUUUCUUAUUAUUUAUUAGAGAUAGGUGUAUAUGUACAAAAAUAUGAUCUAAAUCAUAUAUGGCAAAAAGUGCAAGUCACCGAAUAGGAAAAUUAAGAACAUUCAAUAAAGGUAAAAAAGGUUUUGCAUGCAAUUGAGAAGCAAACAAACAAGUUCAAUGCAGUCUAAUGAAAGCAGCAGAAUUUAAUCAUUCAUAAGUAUGAUCAACAGACUUUAAACUGAGAAAGACAUCACAUCAUACUUAAACUGGGAAUAUGAGGUAAUAUACUGGAAAUUACAAAAACAACCUCAAAGUAUUAUGCUGCAAUUAUACUCAUUUCAAAGUAUUGGAUUUAAUGGAAGGGCUGAUCAAUGAAGACUUUAAGUAGUAUAUCUGAUAUUAUAUUACUUAAGUUUUUUCUUUUUGUUAGGAACUUGAUUCUAACCCAUAAUUUUGUUAAGAACACCAGUAAACCAAGCAAACUAAAAUGCUCAAAAACAAAGCUUGUACACAAGUGAUUCUUCAAAAGUGUUACUUUUAUUCUUUCGCAGCAAAUCAGACGUUACUUUGAUGCAAAUACCGCAAAUCUUUUGCCUGUUCAAUAUAUCUAUCGAAAGAAAGUAGAAAGUACGAUUUCUUUGAUUAUGAUAAAAACAAACGAAACAGAGAGCACAAUUGAGCUCUUUGUCUGCUAAAAUACUAACCUAUGAAUUGUAAAAGCACUACAAAGAAAUGGAAAAAAAUUAUAUACCUUGAAAGAAUUUCUAAGUCUAUGACUUGGUACAGAAUUAGCGUUUUGGUAUGUUUUCCAUCUUGGAAAUCAUUUGUCAACAGUCUAAUUUUUAAAGCAUUCGAACAGACUGCUUUUAUAACGAUAGUGUGUAAUAUUUUACUUUGAAUAAUCUGAUAUUGUACCAUUUAAUAUUUGAAAAAUUAUGAAUUAAAAUUUGUCCAUAUUGAAUGACUAUAUUAAGGGAAAAAAUGUAUUUAUGUAUCUCUUAUUAAACUCGCAUAUUGAAUACGAUGUGAGAACCCAUUUCUUGAUCAAACGUGUUUGUAAUUGAAUAGAUAAAAUUAUAAUAAAACAAUACCAAAAAUAUCGAACCAACAAAAUUUCACACACACACAUAUAUAAUAAAUAUCGUGACAGUUGUUUUAGGUCGAAAAUGUAACGUAACAUUACAAUAAAUAACAUCGAAAUGCUCAUAGAAACAAUUUCAAAUUAGCAAUUAACCAUGGUAAAUAGCGUCUGUAUCAAAGUCUAUUAUGCAGCAAUUAUAAAUAUCCCGUGUUCCAAAAUUGGAGCCAGUUACUUUUCUGGAUUUGUGAUAUUAACAACAAUAUAAGAAAUUAAACAAUCACAGUCAAUUAUAUUAUGUAUUCAAGUUGAAGAGCAGGGUUAUCUGUCAAUCUCUGUUUGGUGUAAGCACUUUCUAAGUAUUUGUAGAUAUUGAACUUGGUCAUUUUAGCCUAUAAAAUUUAUCUUUUGACAUAUCUGCCAAAACAAGUUGUCGGGAAUUUAAGAACUUAUAGUAACAAGGUUGAAAAUAUUGUGUUCCCAAACACAUGUUCCAGUCUCUCAAAGAAUGGUGGAACCUAGCAGAGACUAAAAUAGUGUUCUCAACUGGGAAAGGUACAGAGUUUCUCAACCAGAAAAUGAGUCACAGGUAUCAUCAUAAAUCACUUACCCCAAAUCAACUUUGUAAGUGUAAGUCUUCAGAAACUUCCCAGUUGAAUAGUUCCAAAGCCUCUGCAGGAAAAGAAAAAUUCCCAUGUAAGAAUGACCAAAACAUUGAAUGGUGAAGCAAGAAAAAAACUAGUAGCCGAGUAAGGUACCAAAUUAACUGCAACUGAGUGAAUAAUAACAUGAAAAAACUAAUCAAAUUAGUCAUUUGCCAUUACAUGCGAAUAGUACAUCACAAACUAAAGCUCAUCAGAGAAAAAAAUAAACCCGUUCUAGUUCAUGAAAUUGAAGUGUUGGUCAUAGUUUCUAAUAUAAAAAUAUCCUCCUAAUUAGUCAGUCAUAGAAAAUGUCGUUCACUUUUUAGUGAAAAAAAAAAUGUAAUGAUAUUUAAGGAGUGAAAACUAAAUUGAAAAUUUUGCUGGCUUGUUUUUUCUCUUUAUAUUUUUAAAGCCAGAGAUCCAAAAAUCUAUGUACAGUUUUUCAAAAAGAAAAAUCCAAUGGAGCAGAUGAGUACAAUCCCUAUUCAUCGAAUCGCAUAAUCCUGAUUCCUUAAAUCCAUAAUAUACAAUAAGCCUGCCAUUUUCCACGGGUUCAGAAGGACAAAACAGAAGUGUUAUGACACUAGACAAUAGUAACUUGGUUGAAGUCAAGACCAAAGCGUAAGUAACAACAGAACCCUGAAAGAUUGAGCUAAGAACUCGAAAUUGAAUUUUCAACAGAAAAGCAAUACACAGUUUCAAAAGUUGCAGACAUAUUCAUCACGCAAGCAAAACACACCAAACCAGAAAUUAACCGUAUGCCUUAUUUCUAUAAAUUUCUCAAUAAGUGCGUAUAGGAGAAGAAAACGCAAAACUAAAUCGAAUUAAGGUACUUAGGUUAGUUAAAACUAACCUUCCAAAGAACCUAGGUUAACUCUUACCUCCACUCCUAUGGAGCUUUCUUUGAAGCGGAUCAAAUCACUGACCGGAACAAACACUGAGGAAAUCCAUUUAAAUUGGUGAAAAAUGAAGGAAAAGACAAAACAAUCGGUCAAAGAGUAAGAAGAUGAAGAUACGAAAAAACUCUAGCAGUUGAAGGUAAAAGAUGCAGGUGAAAUUGAACUGUGAUUCAACGAGAUGAUGGAGAGACACGAGAAAUGGAGAAAAGAGAAACGCUCGUGAGCCUACUGAGAAAUUAUAAAAGAAAAAAUAUUUUUAAUUUAUCUUUGUUUUGAUAAAAUCGUUGAAAAUUUGUGAAGGUUUUUAUAAAACUGUUGGAAAUUUCUAAAAUUUCUAAAAGUUUUUAAAAUCAUCAUCUUCUAAAAUACAUUAUUUUUGUACUGUGACGUGUUUUUUAAAUUAAUGUGUUAAUUUAUUUUGGAAAUUACAAAUCUGAGUUUGAUUUUAUAUUUAUUAUUGAAAGGAUUAAAUCAUAUAGUUAAUGUAUGUAUGCAUGACUUCUUAAUAAUAAUGAAGUUAUCUAUGUUUUUUAAUGGUUCAUGCAAGAUUAAAUUUAAUUAAUCAUGAAUUAACUUCAAAAUAAUCACCUUAAAGUAAAUUUGUAUUUAGAUUUUAACAAUUUCAAGCUAAAUAAAGUUAGGAAAGAAAGAUUCUUGUGACUUCUCUUAAGGAUAAUUUUUUAUUAAGUCAUAUUAUAAUUUUUACUGAAUUGAAAUCAUAUUUAAGGCUGCCGACUUCAACUUAAUUUCAAUUUCAACUUAAGCCAUGUCACAUGUUAGUGACUUAUAUGUAAAAUAUUUGAACUGAAUUCGUCAACUUUGUAGAUCUUAAAUUCAAAAAAGUCGUCAAAUGCUAUACAACAUCAGUUAAACAUUAUCUUUAAGAAAAGACAUAAAAAACUUUCAAGAUUAUAGUGAUUUAUGUUGAAAUAGUCAAAUUUAGAUACAACUUUACUUCAAGUGAUUAUUUUGAAUUUAAAGUUAAUUCAUAAUUAAUUAAAUUUAACCUUGCAUAAAUUAUUAAACACGAGAGAACGACUUAAUAGUUGUGUAUGCAUUUUACAAUUUUUAUUAAAACGAAAUGAUGAUCACGGAAUUUAAAGUCAAACCCUGUAAUUUCCAAAAUAAAUUAAGCCACGUAUGAAAGAAAAAGAAAACUGUCAUACGCAAAUGGCUUUUCUUUUACAUGUAACUUAUUUACACAUAAUUGUUUUUAGAUAUGAGAAUUAUUUUGUCAAUUCAAGAGUUUAUUAGUAUAUAUAUAAUAUACACAUAUUUACCAGACUUUAUGAAUGCUUCUUUUUUUUAUUAGUAUAUAUAUAAUAUACACAUACUAUAUCUAUACACUUAUCCAAAGUGUUAUAAUUAGUACAUACAUAUUAUAUAUGUACUUCUCAAAAGUGUUAUAAUUAAUUUAUAUCCUAAUAUAUAAUCAACUUGGCAUUCAUAUUUUUUUUUAAAGUAUAGGUUGCAAAUUAUUUUAGUUAUGUUAACAAAAUUGUAAAUAAACUAAAAGAAUAUUUAUAUUACUUUUUAAUCUAAAUUUUUAAUAUUUAUUACAAAGGACUUUUUGUAUUUUGUUCCGUGGUAUAAACACAAUGGAAGAUAUAAAACAUAUUUAUUUGAGAAAUUUCAUAGAUAUCACAAUGGAAUUCAUCUUAUUGAAAAGGAGAUGUAAUUAUAUUAGCAAUCUCCUAUUUAUUUUGACUUGAUCUGGUACAUUCAUAUAUAAUUAUGAAUUGUUUUCAAAGACCAACAAAUACAUCAACUGCAUUAUGGUUGCGAGUUGAAACAAAGUGAUUGAUAAACUCUCCAUAAUGAAAUGGACGAUAACGAAGAGGAUGAAUUUUGUCAUCUACUAACUCACCAGGCACCUCAAUCUUCAUCUCGUCCUUUGGUGCCACAAAAUUUCCAAAAGUGAAUCUCUCUUUCUCUCCAUUCAUCAUCACUCUAUGUGUUGCUGCAUGAAUCCUUCCGUUGCUCCAUGCCUAUUUAUUCACGUAACAUAUAACUAUAAUUAUUCAAUACAUAUAUAACAACAAUUUCAAUUAAUUAAUUUUGUGCAUAUAUACCUUCAGUGCAUCACCAACAAUAACCACAAAGCAAUUCUGGGGUAUUUCUAUGUCAACCCAUUUGCCCGAUUUUGAUAGCAUCUGCAAACCCUGAACUUCAUUUUGGCACAAAACGGUUAAGGUGUCUUUGUCAGUGUGACCAUUGGAGGCANCCUUGUUUGCAUCAGUAUUGUACAUGUUCAAUCGUAUCUGGGUACAACUCUUCAUGUUUUCAACAUCUGAAAUGUAAUGUUGGGGAAGGUCAUAGCCCUCCACAAUCAUUUUCAAGACU